UCAAGUGAAGAAGCGCAUACGGUGGAUGCCUUGGCAGUCAGAGGCGAUGAAAGACGUGGUAGCCUGCGAAAAGCUUCGGGGAGUCGGCAAACAGACUGUGAUCCGGAGAUGUCUGAAUGGGGGAACCCAGCCAUCACAAGAUGGUUAUCUUACACUGAAUACAUAGGUGUAAGAGGCGAACCAGGGGAACUGAAACAUCUAAGUACCCUGAGGAAAAGAAAUCAACCGAGAUUCCCUUAGUAGUGGCGAGCGAACGGGGACCAGCCCUUAAGUUGUAUUGAGAUUAGCGGAACGCUCUGGAAAGUGCGGCCAUAGUGGGUGAUAGCCCUGUACGCGAAAAUCCCUUUGCAAUGAAAUCGAGUAGGACGGGGCACGAGAAACCUUGUCUGAAUAUGGGGGGACCAUCCUCCAAGGCUAAAUACUACUGACUGACCGAUAGUGAACCAGUACCGUGAGGGAAAGGCGAAAAGAACCGCGGAGAGCGGAGUGUAAUACUACUGACUGACCGAUAGUGAACCAGUACCGUGAGGGAAAGGCGAAAAGAACCGCGGAGAGCGGAGUGAAAUAGAUCCUGAAACCGUAUGCGUACAAGCAGUGGGAGCCCACUUUGUUGGGUGACUGCGUACCUUUUGUAUAAUGGGUCAGCGACUUAUUUUCAGUGGCGAGCUUAACCGAAUAGGGGAGGCGUAGCGAAAGCGAGUCUUAAUAGGGCGUCUAGUCGCUGGGAAUAGACCCGAAUCUUAACCGAAUAGGGGAGGCGUAGCGAAAGCGAGUCUUAAUAGGGCGUCUAGUCGCUGGGAAUAGACCCGAAACCGGGCGAUCUAUCCAUGGGCAGGUUGAAGGUUGGGUAACACUAACUGGAGGACCGAACCGACUACCGUUGAAAAGUUAGCGGAUGACCUGUGGAUCGGAGUGAAAGGCUAAUCAAGCUCGGAGAUAGCUGGUUCUCCUCGAAAGCUAUUUAGGUAGCGCCUCAUGUAUCACUGUAGGGGGUAGAGCACUGUUUCGGCUAGGGGGUCAUCCCGACUUACCAAACCGAUGCAAACUCCGAAUACCUACAAGUGCCGAGCAUGGGAGACACACGGCGGGUCAUCCCGACUUACCAAACCGAUGCAAACUCCGAAUACCUACAAGUGCCGAGCAUGGGAGACACACGGCGGGUGCUAACGUCCGUCGUGAAAAGGGAAACAACCCAGACCGUCAGCUAAGGUCCCAAAGUCAUGGUUAAGUGGGAAACGAUGUGGGAAGGCUUAGACAGCUAGGAGGUUGGCUUAGAAGCAGCCACCCUUUAAAGAAAGCGUAAUAGCUCACUAGUCGAGUCGGCCUGCGCGGAAGAUGUAACGGGGCUCAAACCAUGCACCGAAGCUACGGGUAUCACCUUUGGUGAUGCGGUAGAGGAGCGUUCUGUAAGCCUGUGAAGGUGAGUUGAGAAGCUUGCUGGAGGUAUCAGAAGUGCGAAUGCUGACAUGAGUAACGACAAUGGGUCUGUGAAGGUGAGUUGAGAAGCUUGCUGGAGGUAUCAGAAGUGCGAAUGCUGACAUGAGUAACGACAAUGGGUGUGAAAAACACCCACGCCGAAAGACCAAGGUUUCCUGCGCAACGUUAAUCGACGCAGGGUUAGUCGGUCCCUAAGGCGAGGCUGAAAAGCGUAGUCGAUGGAAAACAGGUUAAUAUUCCUGUACUUCUGGUUAUUGCGAUGGAGGGACGGAGAAGGCUAGGCCAGCCUGGCGUUGGUAGUCCAGGUUUAAGGUGGUAGGCUGAGAUCUUAGGUAAAUCCGGGAUCUUAAGGCCGAGAGCUGAUGACGAGUGUUCUUUUAGAACAUGAAGUGGUUGAUGCCAUGCUUCCAAGAAAAGCUUCUAAGCUUCAGGUAACCAGGAACCGUACCCCAAACCGACACAGGUGGUUGGGUAGAGAAUACCAAGGCGCUUGAGAGAACUCGGGUGAAGGAACUAGGCAAAAUGGCACCGUAACUUCGGGAGAAGGUGCGCCGGUGAGGGUGAAGCAUUUACUGCGUAAGCCCACGCCGGUCGAAGAUACCAGGCCGCUGCGACUGUUUAUUAAAAACACAGCACUCUGCAAACACGAAAGUGGACGUAUAGGGUGUGACGCCUGCCCGGUGCCGGAAGGUUAAUUGAUGGGGUUAGCGCAAGCGAAGCUCUUGAUCGAAGCCCCGGUAAACGGCGGCCGUAACUAUAACGGUCCUAAGGUAGCGAAAUUCCUUGUCGGGUAAGUUCCGACCUGCACGAAUGGCGUAACGAUGGCGGCGCUGUCUCCACCCGAGACUCAGUGAAAUUGAAAUCGCUGUGAAGAUGCAGUGUAUCCGCGGCUAGACGGAAAGACCCCGUGAACCUUUACUAUAGCUUUGCACUGGACUUUGAAUUUGCUUGUGUAGGAUAGGUGGGAGGCUUUGAAGCGUGGACGCUAGUCUGCGUGGAGCCAACCUUGAAAUACCACCCUGGCAACUUUGAGGUUCUAACUCAGGUCCGUUAUCCGGAUCGAGGACAGUGUAUGGUGGGUAGUUUGACUGGGGCGGUCUCCUCCUAAAGAGUAACGGAGGAGUACGAAGGUGCGCUCAGACCGGUCGGAAAUCGGUCGUAGAGUAUAAAGGCAAAAGCGCGCUUGACUGCGAGACAGACACGUCGAGCAGGUACGAAAGUAGGUCUUAGUGAUCCGGUGGUUCUGUAUGGAAGGGCCAUCGCUCAACGGAUAAAAGGUACUCCGGGGAUAACAGGCUGAUACCGCCCAAGAGUUCAUAUCGACGGCGGUGUUUGGCACCUCGAUGUCGGCUCAUCACAUCCUGGGGCUGAAGCCGGUCCCAAGGGUAUGGCUGUUCGCCAUUUAAAGUGGUACGCGAGCUGGGUUUAGAACGUCGUGAGACAGUUCGGUCCCUAUCUGCCGUGGACGUUUGAGAUUUGAGAGGGGCUGCUCCUAGUACGAGAGGACCGGAGUGGACGAACCUCUGGUGUUCCGGUUGUCACGCCAGUGGCAUUGCCGGGUAGCUAUGUUCGGAAAAGAUAACCGCUGAAAGCAUCUAAGCGGGAAACUUGCCUCAAGAUGAGAUCUCACUGGAACCUAGAGUUCCCUGAAGGGCCGUCGAAGACUACGACGUUGAUAGGUUGGGUGUGUAAGCGCUGUGAGGCGUUGAGCUAACCAAUACUAAUUGCCCGUGAGGCUUGACCAU
rnacentral:rRNA from 1 species